rnacentral:rRNA from 1 species
CGGACCGGCGCACGGGUGAGUAACACGUAUGGAACCUGCCCGCAGCAGGGGGAUAAGCGGAAGAAAUUCCGUCUAAUACCGCGUAACACCGCAGAGGGGCAUCCCUCGGCGGUUAAAGAUUCAUCGGCUGCGGAUGGCCAUGCGGCGCAUUAGCUAGUCGGCGGGGUAACGGCCCACCGAGGCGACGAUGCGUAGGGGUUCUGAGAGGAAGGUCCCCCACACUGGUACUGAGACACGGACCAGACUCCUACGGGAGGCAGCAG